UACGGGGGGGAGCAAGCGUUGUUCGGAAUCACUGGGCAUAAAGCGCACGUAGGCGGCACCGCAAGUGUGGGGUGAAAUCCCACGGCUUACCCGUGGAACUGCCUGGCAGACUGCGGUGCUAGAGGUUGGUAGGGGAGAGCGGAACUCUUGGUGGAGCGGUGAAAUGCGUAGAUAUCAAGAGGAACACCGGUGGCGAAGGCGGCUCUCUGGUCCAAUCCUGACGCUGAGGUGCGAAAGCUAGGGGAGCAAACGGG
rnacentral:rRNA from 1 species